rnacentral:rRNA from 1 species
CCUACGGGGGGCAGCAGUCGAGAAUCAUUCACAAUGGGGGAAACCCUGAUGGUGCGACGCCGCGUGGGGGAAUGAAGGUCUUUGGAUUGUAAACUCCUGUCAUGUGGGCGCAAAUUAAAAAGAUAGUACCAUAAGAGGAAGAGACUGCUAACUCUGUGCCAGCAGCCGCGGUAAUACAUAGGUCUUAAGCGUUGCUCGGAAUCACUGGGCGGAAGGCGUGGGUAGGCUGUUUCGUAAGGCUGUUGUGAAAGGCGCGGGAUCAACCCGAGAACUGCACAGGAUACUGGCAGACUAGAGUAAUGGAGGGGGAACCGGAAUUCUUGGUGUAGCAGUGAAAUGCGUAGAUA